rnacentral:lncRNA from 1 species
UUUAAACCUAAUCCAUGCAGAAAUAAUCAAAUAAUCGAAUUCAAAAUAGGGAAAAAAAAACAAAACUCGGAAGAUAACCUAAAACAUAAAAACUAAGACCGAAACAAUUGAAUUUGAAUCCCAAACUCGGCUGGAAUGGCUAGCUUUGUCAUUCAACAUACAGAUCUCGCUAAGUGUUUUCCGAAUUAAAAUUGCACGCUAAAAUUGGAUGCUCAGCGAAAAGUUAUGACUAUUUAAAGAUUUUUCGCAAAAUUGUCGAAUUCAAAUAAAUUUUUCGUUCGAUUUGGUUGUAUCACAUUUUUCCAAAAAACUUAACCUACGCUAAAUUGGUCGCAUAAUAUAGUAUCAGGACCAGAUUUAAUUACACCCCUUAAUUUAAUGUCACCUGAGUAGUUGGGUGCUAUUUGCGUUUAACAUGUGUAUUGAAUAUAUAUAUAUAUAUAUAUAGUAGAGCUAGAAUACUUGUAAAAGUAUCACCCAAGUGAUACUUGUGUGUUUUUAGCCCUUGGAUGGAGAGAUGUGAGGUUGAGAUGAUAGUGGUAGGUGGUGGUAGGUGGUGGUAGGUGAAAUAGUGUUUGAUCCAAAGGCUAUUAGUAAUCAAAAAGUAGAUCCAAUGACUAAAAACACACAAGUAUCACUUGGGUGAUACUUGUAAAAGUAUUCUAGCCCUACUCUAUAUAUAUAUAUAUAUAUAUAUAUAUG